CACGUGGGGAACCUGCCCCAUAGUCUGGGAUACCACUUGGAAACAGGUGCUAAUACCGGAUAAGAAAGCAGAUCGCAUGAUCAGCUUUUAAAAGGCGGCGUAAGCUGUCGCUAUGGGAUGGCCCCGCGGUGCAUUAGCUAGUUGGUAAGGUAAAGGCUUACCAAGGCGAUGAUGCAUAGCCGAGUUGAGAGACUGAUCGGCCACAUUGGGACUGAGACACGGCCCAAACUCCUACGGGAGGCAGCAGAU
rnacentral:rRNA from 1 species